rnacentral:rRNA from 1 species
AUUGAACGCUGGCGGAAUGCUUUACACAUGCAAGUCGAACGGCAGCACGGACUUCGGUCUGGUGGCGAGUGGCGAACGGGUGAGUAAUGUAUCGGAACGUGCCCAGUCGUGGGGGAUAACGUAGUGAAAAUUACGCUAAUACCGCAUACGAUCCAUGGCUGAAAGCGGGGGAUCGCAAGACCUCGCGCGAUUGGCGCGGCCGAUAACAGAUUAGGUAGUUGGUGGGGUAAAGGCCCACCAAGCCAACGAUCUGUAGCUGGUCUGAGAGGACGACCAGCCACACUGGAACUGAGACACGGUCCAGACUCCUACGGGAGGCAGCAGUGGGGAAUUUUGGACAAUGGGCGAAAGCCUGAUCCAGCCAUUCCGCGUGCAGGAUGAAGGCCCUCGGGUUGUAAACUGCUUUUGUACAGAACGAAAAGGUUUCUACUAAUACUAGGAGCUCAUGACGGUACUGUAAGAAUAAGCACCGGCCAACUACGUGCCAGCCGCCGCGGUAA